rnacentral:rRNA from 1 species
UGGGGAAUAUUGCACAAUGGGCGCAAGCCUGAUGCAGCCAUGCCGCGUGUAUGAAGAAGGCCUUCGGGUUGUAAAGUACUUUCAGCGGGGAGGAAGGUGUUGUGGUUAAUAACCACAGCAAUUGACGUUAACCGCAGAAGAAGCACCGGCUAACUCCGUGCCAGCAGCCGCGGUAAUACGGAGGGUGCAAGCGUUAAUCGGAAUUACUGGGCGUAAAGCGCACGCAGGCGGUCUGUCAAGUCGGAUGUGAAAUCCCCGGGCUCAACCUGGGAACUGCAUCCGAAACUGGCAGGCUUGAGUCUUGUAGAGGGGGGUAGAAUUCCAGGUGUAGCGGUGAAAUGCGUAGAGAUCUGGAGGAAUACCGGUGGCGAAGGCGGCCCCCUGGACAAAGACUGACGCUCAGGUGCGAAAGCGUGGGGAGCAAACA